UAAACGAAGAAUGGAUACACAUAAGAAAGAGAACUGGAGAAGGGACUUCUAUCCCAUAUGAACACGAAAGAAGAAUCGUUAGAUUAAAAUGUUUGAAUUAGGAACCGGUAGCCAAUAAUCCCAAAAAGGUCAUUUCUGCAUGCUAUAAAGUGGUGGAAAAAAGAAAGAUGUCGAAAAAAGGAUAUAUAGGCUCAUAGACAUUCCUUGUUGUGGAGGAUUUUGACAUUGGAAGUUGAU